rnacentral:rRNA from 1 species
AUUGAACGCUGGCGGCAUGCUUUACACAUGCAAGUCGAACGGUAACAGGCCGCAAGGUGCUGACGAGUGGCGAACGGGUGAGUAAUGCAUCGGAACGUGCCCAGUCGUGGGGGAUAACGCAGCGAAAGCUGUGCUAAUACCGCAUACGAUCUAUGGAUGAAAGCGGGGGACCGUAAGGCCUCGCGCGAUUGGAGCGGCCGAUGUCAGAUUAGCUAGUUGGUGGGGUAAAGGCCCACCAAGGCGACGAUCUGUAGCUGGUCUGAGAGGACGACCAGCCACACUGGGACUGAGACACGGCCCAGACUCCUACGGGAGGCAGCAGUGGGGAAUUUUGGACAAUGGGCGCAAGCCUGAUCCAGCAAUGCCGCGUGCAGGAAGAAGGCCUUCGGGUUGUAAACUGCUUUUGUACGGAACAAAACGGUCUGGGUUAAUACCCUGGGCUAAUGACGGUACCGUAAGAAUAAGCACCGGCUAACUACGUGCCAGCCGCCGCCGUAA